CAUGCUAGUUGUACGAGUUCAGACUCGUAGCAGAUAGCUCAGUAACACGUGGCCAAACUACCCUCUGGAUCCGGAUACCCUCGGGAAACUGAGGCUAAUCCGGGAUACGACUCUCAGCCUGGAAGUGGCGAGAGUCAGAAACGCCCCGGCGCCAGAGGAUGUGGCUGCGGCCGAUUAGGUAGACGGUGGGGUAACGGCCCACCGUGCCGAUAAUCGGUACGGGUUGUGAGAGCAAGAGCCCGGAGACGGUAUCUGAGACAAGAUACCGGGCCCUACGGGGCGCAGCAGGCGCGAAACCUUUACACUGCACGCGAGUGCGAUAAGGGGACUCCACGUGCGAGGGCAUAUAGUCCUCGCUUUUCUCGACCGUAAGGAGGUCGAGGAAUAAGUGCUGGGCAAGACCGGUGCCAGCCGCCGCGGUAAUACCGGCAGCACGAGUGAUGACCGCUCUUAUUGGGCCUAAAGCGUCCGUAGCUGGCCAGGCAAGUCUAUCGGGAAAUCCGCGCGCUCAACGCGCGGGCGUCCGGUGGAAACUGUGUGGCUUGGGACCGGAAGAUCCAGAGGGUACGUCCGGGGUAGGAGUGAAAUC
rnacentral:rRNA from 1 species